rnacentral:lncRNA from 1 species
GUCAGUGGGUCUCAGCCCUGGGUGCACAUUAGGAUUCUCUGGGGGCUGUUUGAAGUAGCAAAGCCUGUCCUCCAUACUCAGAGCAUCUGCUAUAAUUGGCCCUGGCUGGGGCUCGCGUGUCAGUGGUCUUAAACGCUCUCCAGUUGAUGCUCACAUGCAGCCAGUGUGAAGACCCACUGAGCUAGGACAACGGUUCUCACUUCGGUGUGUGUCACAUCCUCUGGAGAGCUCACCAUGGACACAGAGGGCCCGCUUGCCGAGGAGGAUAGUCCUAGGCUUGGUGAGAAUAACCAAGUUCCCAGGCAGUUGUGAAACUGGCCAAAGCAGGAGCAGCUCUGGUCUCAAGGAACGGCUGUGAGGGGUCCCCGCAGCCUCCCAGGCAGCUCUCCCUUCUCCCUCAUUCUUCUUCUUCCUCAAUGCUGCUUGGCCAGCACCACGGCUCCUAAAGCACAAGGAACGAGAGAUUCUCAGAACUGGAAGGAACAGAGGCAUCUUUGAGCACGGUAAACAGGGGUCUGCCAGCCAAACCCAGCUCAUGGGGUGUGUGUGUGUGAGCUUGUUUUAAUCUGUAUGCUUGUUUCUUAAAAAAGCAUUGAAUCCAUUGCCAACAUUUUUUUAAGGAGAUUUUACAUAAAAAUCUAGAUUUCUAGAUUCUCCGGGAAAAUCAGGGACUCUAGCAACAAGCACCCCACAUUCCUGCAUGGCAGCAAUUGGCUGGAACUGCCCCUUAAAAUGGGGCAUGUGUCCCUCAGUUUCCCGUAGUCCCCACGUGACUCAUUUUUGAGGCCAGUGUGGCCGGGGCGGGGGACGGAGGGGAGAAGAGUCAGAGAGGUCAAAGAGGUACUGAGUGGGCCACAAGGCAAAGGUCUUGGGGACCACUGGGGAGUUUUAUGCAGAGCAGUGACAAGAUCCAAGUUAUGCGUAACAGGGUCCCUGUGGCUGCUGCGUGGAGAAUGGACUGAAGGGGACAAGGAUGACAAGGGGCAAGUGGAGAAGCAAGGCAUCCAUUUAGGAAGCAAGAGAUGUGGUGGCUUGGACCAGGGGCUUGCAGCAGAGACGGUGAGAAGAGUUGGGGUUCUGGA